GUCCCUGUAGCGCAAUGGACAGCCCGCGUUGGAUUUCUAAUCCAAAGGUCGUCGGUCCGAAUCCCACCUGGGAUG